rnacentral:rRNA from 1 species
CCUGGCUACGGGAGGCAGCAGUCGAGAAUCAUUCACAAUGGGGGAAACCCUGAUGGUGCGACGCCGCGUGGGGGAAUGAAGGUCUUCGGAUUGUAAACCCCUGUCAUGUGGGAGCAAAUUAAAAAGAUAGUACCACAAGAGGAAGAGACGGCUAACUCUGUGCCAGCAGCCGCGGUAAUACAGAGGUCUCAAGCGUUGUUCGGAAUCACUGGGCGUAAAGCGUGCGUCGGCUGUUUCGUACGUCGUGUGCGAAAGGCGCGGGCUCAACCCGCGGACGGCACAUGAUACUGCGAGACUAGGGUCAU